rnacentral:rRNA from 1 species
GCGGCGGAGGGUGAGUAACACGUGGGUAACCUGCCUGUAAGACUGGGAUAACUCCGGGAAACCGGGGCUAAUACCGGAUGGUUGUCUGAACCGCAUGGUUCAGACAUAAAAGGUGGCUUCGGCUACCACUUACAGAUGGACCCGCGGCGCAUUAGCUAGUUGGUGAGGUAACGGCUCACCAAGGCGACGAUGCGUAGCCGACCUGAGAGGGUGAUCGGCCACACUGGGACUGAGACACGGCCCAGACUCCUACGGGAGGCAGCAGUAGGGAAUCUUCCGCAAUGGACGAAAGUCUGACGGAGCAACGCCGCGUGAGUGAUGAAGGUUUUCGGAUCGUAAAGCUCUGUUGUUAGGGAAGAACAAGUGCCGUUCAAAUAGGGCGGCACCUUGACGGUACCUAACCAGAAAGCCACGGCUAACUACGUGCCAGCAGCCGCGGUAAUACGUAGGUGGCAAGCGUUGUCCGGAAUUAUUGGGCGUAAAGGGCUCGCAGGCGGUUUCUUAAGUCUGAUGUGAAAGCCCCCGGCUCAACCGGGGAGGGUCAUUGGAAACUGGGGAACUUGAGUGCAGAAGAGGAGAGUGGAAUUCCACGUGUAGCGGUGAAAUGCGUACAGAUGUGGAGGAACACCAGUGGCGAAGGCGACUCUCUGGUCUGUAACUGACGCUGAGGAGCGAAAGCGUGGGGAGCGAACAGGAUUAGAUACCCUGGUAGUCCACGCCGUAAACGAUGAGUGCUAAGUGUUAGGGGGUUUCCGCCCCUUAGUGCUGCAGCUAACGCAUUAAGCACUCCGCCUGGGGAGUACGGUCGCAAGACUGAAACUCAAAGGAAUUGACGGGGGCCCGCACAAGCGGUGGAGCAUGUGGUUUAAUUCGAAGCAACGCGAAGAACCUUACCAGGUCUUGACAUCCUCUGACAAUCCUAGAGAUAGGACGUCCCCUUCGGGGGCAGAGUGACAGGUGGUGCAUGGUUGUCGUCAGCUCGUGUCGUGAGAUGUUGGGUUAAGUCCCGCAACGAGCGCAACCCUUGAUCUUAGUUGCCAGCAUUCAGUUGGGCACUCUAAGGUGACUGCCGGUGACAAACCGGAGGAAGGUGGGGAUGACGUCAAAUCAUCAUGCCCCUUAUGACCUGGGCUACACACGUGCUACAAUGGACAGAACAAAGGGCAGCGAAACCGCGAGGUUAAGCCAAUCCCACAAAUCUGUUCUCAGUUCGGAUCGCAGUCUGCAACUCGACUGCGUGAAGCUGGAAUCGCUAGUAAUCGCGGAUCCGCUGCCGCGAAUUUCC